UCGGGCAAGGAACGAACGAAAAAGUACGAGACACGACGCUCAGUUUCGAUGUUGAUGUUGACGAAGUUCUUUCGAAAAGAAUGAACCAACAAAGGUACCGAAGAACAAAUGUACAAAGACUGGCGAUCACCUUGAGAAAUAAUGUAUUGUCACAAGAACGAAAGAAAACUAAUGGUAUGGGGAGGAAAAUCCGACGCAAAAAAAGAAAGCAAGCCAUAUCAGACUGUGAACUAAUGAGAUCAGCUGAUGAAAUCCAGCAGUUCGUAGCAAAUUAAAAGAAUGUUGCAUUGAAUAAGAAAGCUCGGAAUGAUGGCUACGUAAGAGCGAGCACACAAUAUGGUAAUAUUCUGUUUGGGUGACAUUUGUUUUACUAACACGCAACUCUUAGUAGACAAUGGAAGUGUCUCUCAUUCAUCAGAAGGCGGAGUUUGCUGGAUGAUAUGCUCAAGAACAGAAUGAACGGACUAUUUAAAGUAGGAGGAAUAUUGAGGACUCGGAACCUGCACAGAUCAUGAUAGCUUUGUCAUGAAGAUGUUUUUAAGUUACGAGCUGAACCUGACCUUGAAAACCAUUUUCUGACCUAUUUGAUGUUUGGGUGGCUUUACUGACAUCUCACAAGAGGAACGGUGACCUGAUGCUAUCCUGACAUUUACAAGAUAACAAUGCCCAACAAUUUUAUCAAAAGGUUUGUGCUUCAUGUCUCCCUCCUUAUAGUUACUGCGUUAUCACAAACCUUGUGCAAGGGUGAGACUACAGUGACGACCAAGUUACAGAGCAUCGCAAUGCUUGAAUGUUCAACAGCUAAGGCUGGUUCAAUAAAACAGAUAACUUGGACCUUGAAUGGUGCUACAAUACAGGAUUCACAAAAGCCUCAUCCUGACAAUCAUAGAUAUGAAAUUAUUAAAGAAGGAUCUGACAAACAGACAAUUUAUCUUAAAAUUUCUAAUGUUCACUUGACAGACAUUGGAACAUAUGUAUGUUAU